GGCGGACGGGUGAGUAACGCGUAAAGAACUUGCCCUUUAGACUGGGAUAACAGAGGGAAACUUCUGAUAAUACUGGAUAAGUUAGUAUAUCGCAUGAUAUGCAAAUGAAAGCUACGGCACUAAAGGAGAGCUUUGCGUCCUAUUAGCUAGUUGGUAAGGUAAGAGCUUACCAAGGCGAUGAUAGGUAGCCGGCCUGAGAGGGUGGACGGCCACAAGGGGACUGAGAUACGGCCCUUACUCCUACGGGAGGCAGCAGGC
rnacentral:rRNA from 1 species